UGAGUUCACAUCUAACUACUGAAGCAUCUGAAACUUCAUCAAUGAGGCCUGUUAAGACCUCCAGAGAGAUUUCUAUACAUAUCACUCGGUUUUGCUGUUUCACACAGACUCCAGGCGGAUUUAGUAAAAAUAUUUUGAAUAUUUAGCUGCAGCAGCUGCCUCAGAACAAUGGCAAGGCGUCAGGGAGAAGAAAACACUGAAUUCAUCAAAAAGGAAGCCUAUCAAGUAUGUAUAUAAAUACAUAAUAGACAGAAAAUUGUAUUAAAAGUUCCUAAAUAUCAGUCAGGAAAUGAAACUUAGAAUCACUUCAGUCAAUUUAGCGUUGAAAUAAUUUGCCGAAUAAUUGAUUAAUCAAUCAACAGGAAAUUAUUUUAUUAUUAUUAUUAGAAACUAUUUUGACAAAUAAAAUCAUUUAUCAAGCAAAAA